GACGAACGCUGGCGGCGUGCUUAACACAUGCAAGUCGAACGGAAAGGCCCUGCUUUUGUGGGGUGCUCGAGUGGCGAACGGGUGAGUAACACGUGAGUAACCUGCCCUUGACUUUGGGAUAACUUCAGGAAACUGGGGCUAAUACCGGAUAGGAGCUCCUGCUGCAUGGUGGGGGUUGGAAAGUUUCGGCGGUUGGGGAUGGACUCGCGGCUUAUCAGCUUGUUGGUGGGGUAGUGGCUUACCAAGGCUUUGACGGGUAGCCGGCCUGAGAGGGUGACCGGCCACAUUGGGACUGGGAUACGGCCCAGACUCCUACGGGGGGCAGAGGUGGGGAAUAUUGCACAAUGGGCGGAAGCCUUAUGCAGCAACGCCGCGUGCGGGAUGACGGCCUUCGGGUUGUAAACCGCUUUCGCCUGUGACGAAGCGUGAGUGACGGUAAUGGGUAAAGAAGCACCGGCUAACUACGUG
rnacentral:rRNA from 1 species